GACGAACGCUGGCGGCGUGCCUAAUACAUGCAAGUAGAACGCUGAAGAGAGGAGCUUGCUCUUCUUGGAUGAGUUGCGAACGGGUGAGUAACGCGUAGGUAACCUGCCUUGUAGCGGGGGAUAACUAUUGGAAACGAUAGCUAAUACCGCAUAACAAUGGAUGACCCAUGUCAUUUAUUUGAAAGGGGCAAAUGCUCCACUACAAGAUGGACCUGCGUUGUAUUAGCUAGUAGGUGAGGUAACGGCUCACCUAGGCGACGAUACAUAGCCGACCUGAGAGGGGGAAGGGCCACCCUGGACCUGGGCCACGGCCCAGACUCCUCCGGGAGGCAGCAGUAGGGAAUCUUCGGCAAUGGGGGCAACCCUGACCGGGCAACGCCGCGGGAGUGAAGAAGGUGUUCGGAUCGUAAAGCUCUGUUGUAAGUCAAAAACGGGUGGGGGAGGGGAAAGUUCACCCUGUGACGGUAGUUUCCCAGAAAGGGACGGCUAACUACGU
rnacentral:rRNA from 1 species